rnacentral:sRNA from 1 species
ACAUUUUGAUUUGGGAUAACUCAAGUUCAAAUCUACUCCACGUUGUGGCGGUUCUGUGACUUCUGGGGUAGACUUGUUUUGGAUGAACCGCUCCUGCAGGCAGGCCCAGCUGCUUGCAGUUCCCUUGCACGUUGCUUCACUGUUACUCCAGCUCUCCCAAGGGGGUGUCUGGGGGCUGCUCGGGAGGAAGAAGGUGGUCUUGCUCACACAUGGAUGGUGUAUGGCAAGACUCCUGAUGACUCUAUGGAGUUAGUGACUACAUGGCUGUGUAUAAGAUGGCAGACGUAGCCUGCAAAUGCCACGGCGUCUCGGGGUCCUGCAGCCUCAAGACCUGCUGGCUGCAGCUGGCCGAGUUCCGCAAGGUGGGGGACCGGCUGAAGGAGAAGUACGACAGCGCGGCCGCCAUGCGCGUCACCCGCAAGGGCCGGCUGGAGCUGGUCAACAGCCGCUUCACCCAGCCCACCCCGGAGGACCUGGUCUACGUGGACCCCAGCCCCGACUACUGCCUGCGCAACGAGAGCACGGGCUCCCUGGGCACGCAGGGCCGCCUCUGCAACAAGACCUCGGAGGGCAUGGAUGGCUGUGAGCUCAUGUGCUGCGGGCGCGGCUACAACCAGUUCAAGAGCGUGCAGGUGGAGCGCUGCCACUGCAAGUUCCACUGGUGCUGCUUCGUCAGGUGUAAGAAGUGCACGGAGAUCGUGGACCAGUACAUCUGUAAAUAGCCCGGAGGGCCUGCUCCCGGCCCCCCUGCACUCUGCCUCACAAAGGUCUAUAUUAUAUAAAUCUAUAUAAAUCUAUUUUAUAUUUGUAUAAGUAAAUGGGUGGGUGCUAAAUAAUGGAAAGAUGAAAAUGGAAAGGAAAAGCUUAUUUAAGAGACGCUGGAGAUCUUUGAGGAGUGGACUUUGCUGGUUCUCUCCUCUUGGUGGGUGGGAGACGGGGCUUUUUCUCUCCCUCUGGCGAGGACGCUCAGGAUGUAGGGACUUGGAAAUAUUUACUGUCUGUC